rnacentral:lncRNA from 1 species
UGAAAGGAUAGCUAAUAUUGCGGAUUUCGCCACAUGAAGAAGGGGUGCAGUUGAUUUGGUUUCCAUGGGAUUUUUGGAUGAAAUAUAAUUGGGUUGUGAUGAACAAAUAAAUGAAUUUGAGGAGGAGGCUUUGGCUGAGGAUAUACAUCUUUGUGUAUGAAUAUUUGGUGAUCAAUUUGAAGAGCUAUCUAUAGCUUAUAAGUUUGGGGAUAUGAUUAAUUAGAUGGAAGAGAUGAGAG